rnacentral:rRNA from 1 species
CCUACGGGUGGCAGCAGUGGGGAAUAUUGCACAAUGGGGGAAACCCUGAUGCAGCGACGCCGCGUGAGUGAAGAAGUAAUUCGUUAUGUAAAGCUCUAUCAGCAGGGAAGAAAAUGACGGUACCUGAGUAAGAAGCCCCGGCUAACUACGUGCCAGCAGCCGCGGUAAUACGUAGGGGGCAAGCGUUAUCCGGAUUUACUGGGUGUAAAGGGUGCGCAGGCGGGAGAUCAAGUCAGCGGUAAAAUGUCGGGGCUCAACCCCGGCCGGCCGUUGAAACUGGUUUUCUAGAGUUGGAGAGAAGUAUGCGGAAUUCGUGGUGUAGCGGUGAAAUGCAUAGAUAUCACGAAGAACUCCGAUUGCGAAGGCAGCCUGCUGGGCUUUUACUGACGCUGAGGCUCGAAAGUGUGGGGAGCAAACAGGAUUAGAUACCCCUGUAGUC